rnacentral:rRNA from 1 species
AGAGUUUGAUCCUGGCUCAGAACGAACGCUGGCGGCGUGCCUAACACAUGCAAGUCGAACGAGAAAGCACCUUCGGGUGUCAGUACAGUGGCAGACGGGUGAGUAAUACUUAGGUAACCUACCUCCGAGAUGGGGACAACCUUCCGAAAGGAGGGCUAAUACCGAAUAAGACCACAGUUACUUCGGUGACAGGGGUUGAAGGUGGCCUCUACUUGUAAGCUAUCGCUUGGAGAUGGGCUUAAGCACCAUUAGCUAGUUGGUAGGGUAAUGGCCUACCAAGGCUCAGAUGGUUAGCUGAUCUGAGAGGUUGAUCAGCCACACUGGAACUGAGACACGGUCCAGACUCCUACGGGAGGCAGCAGUGGGGAAUUUUGCGCAAUGGGGGAAACCCUGACGCAGCGACGCCGCGUGGGUGAUGAAGGCCUUCGGGUCGUAAAGCCCUGUCAGGAGGAAAGAAAAACGGAAUGGCUAAUAUCCAUUCCGCUUGACGGUACCUCCAGAGGAAGCACCGGCUAACUACGUGCCAGCAGCCGCGGUAAUACGUAGGGUGCAAGCGUUGUUCGGAAUUAUUGGGCGUAAAGCGCGUGUAGGUGGUUUGGAAAGUUGGAUGUGAAAUCCCUGGGCUCAACCCAGGAAGUGCAUCCAAAACUACUUAGCUAGAGGACGAGAGGGGGAGGUGGAAUUCCUAGUGUAGAGGUGAAAUUCGUAGAUAUUAGGAGGAAUACCGGUGGCGAAGGCGGCCUCCUGGAUCGUUCCUGACACUGAGACGCGAAAGCGUGGGUAGCAAACAGGAUUAGAUACCCUAGUAGUCC